GACCCUAUCUUCAGCCUUUCCUUCAAAUAGGCACUCCCAGGAGUGUCAUCGUUGUUCAUAGUGGCCCUCUUCUCGAACUGCUCCUCACGUUAGUGGGUUUGGUAUUCUCUUUCUUGAAUUCCUGUUGUAUUUAACUUUUUCCCCCUUUUUUGCAGAUGACAAGUCAAGCGGAUAAUUAGGUCAGAUGUUAGUUUCUUCUCCCUUUAGAAAGUCUUGGAAAAAUGAAGAGAAACUUGUUCAUCCCAACUCAUGCUACAUAAAAUUUUGCCCAUUUCCAGAGGAUAGGGUUUACAAAAAGUUUGGUCUAUUCAUCAUGACAUGUCUUCCAGCAGAGGCUGAGAAACUGGAACUUGAUAUUCAUCUUGCUGAUGGUAGAUAUGUUAUAUCAACAUUUGUUCCAUUUGGAGUAGUAGAAUUCGACAAAGAUGAGAUUAAGAUGGCUAAACAUCUUUAAGAGAUGUUCCUUAAAAUUAUUCUUGACCGAUCAGAAUUUGCGUCUAAUUGUGUAACCCUAGGCAGUUCAAGAGGUUGUCUGCUUCGGAAUUAACAGAUUUUGGAUGAUUUCUUAUUAUGAGUGGUGGAUUCAUUCUUCUGCAGAAGACAGGUCUUCUGAUUCUCUACUCCUAUUAUCGUAUGUUAUACCACUAUUUUUUUGUUGAUUAGGUAUACUGCUAUAUACUGAAUUUGUUUUAGUCAUCCUGAAAAUCACGCUGCCUCAGAUAUCAGCUUAAUAUAUCAUAUGAUUCCGUGGUCAAGGACCAAUCAAAUUAUAUGUGGUCUUCAAUGUUUUAGAGAUGAGCAUUUUCGUAAUACAUAAAUCUCAGAUAUAGGGAAUAAGUAGUUCUCUAUAUGUCGAUCCGUAUUGUCAAUUUUCAAUCAAGAGUAAUGUUAAUGUGAGGAAGAUACUGGCGUGACAAUGGAAGGGAAAUAAUUCAACUCUGACAUCAGUAUCAAUAUGCUAUGCUAUCUCCAUGUUUUUAUUUUUCAUAUGGUAAGAUAUGUGAGUGGCAGUAUCCCUGCUCUUCCAAAGAAGUAAAUUCACCAUUUGGUUUUGUAUCAAACCUGAAUUAGUACCUUUUGGCAGGAAAAUGAUCCACUUUAAUUAUAGGUCAACUCAUAAUAAAUUAUUCUUCUUCUCCUUUAUCCUCCUUCUUUCAAUGUUGACCUGAGGGAAACACAACACAAUCCCUUGGCCAUAGGGGGAAAGAAGAAAACAAGAAAGACAGAAAGAGCCACAAAAAUCAAUAUCACCGCCAAUCAUCAUCUUGUUGGAAUCCAAUCUAAUUCAAUAAAAUAUCACACGUAAUUGUAUAUUCAUAUCCCUAAUCCUUUCUUAAUUUUUACCCUUUUUCUGAAUCAAUUUUGUCAUACGAUUAAUCAUCAGGAAAUAGGAAUUUCUAUCCAAGUUCUCCUAUUGCUUUAAAGUUAUAUUUUUUGUUAGUUUGUUUCACUUAUGUUGCUUUGUUGUGUUCUUUGAUUGCAAUAAUAAUUUACAACUUUUAUUGGGAAUUUGGAUUGAUUUGUAUAGACCAAUAUUGGAAAUUUUUUACUGGUUUUUGCGUGACCAAUUAUGGGGAAGCCAACAGGGAAAAAGAAAGAUCAUGAAAGUCCCAAGGCAAAAGAAGCUAAGGUUCCUGCUAUUAAUAAGACUAUGGACCGUAGCGCCUCAAAGGCCCUUGAUGAUGACACUGCCAUGUUCAUCAACAUGGCACAAUAGCUCAAGGAAGAAGGCAACAGGCUAUAUCAGAAGAAUGAUCAUGAAGCUGCCAUGUUGUAGUUUGCGAAGGCGUUGAAGCUCCCGCCUAAGAGUCACAUUGAUGCUGCACACCUUCACACAAGUAUGGCCGUCUGUUACAUGCAAAUGUGACUAGGGGAGUACCCUCAUGCCAUCAACGAAUGCAAUAUGGCGUUAGAAGUCUCACCUAGAUAUAGCAGGGCUAUGUUGAAGAGGGCAAAGUGCUACGCAGCAUUGAAUCGGUUGGAUUUUGGCAAUGAGGGAUGUUAGGAUUGUUUUGAAUUGGGAACCUAAUAACCUUACAGCAUUUGAGAUCCAGGAUAGUCUGAGAAUUACAAUGGAAGAAAAGGGCAUCACUAUAGAUGAGACUGAGAUUGCUUUGGCUACAAUCGCAGAGCCUCCAGUUGCCCGGUUGCGAAAAGUGGUGAGGGAGAAGCUAAAGAAGAAGAAAGGUCAUCACCAGAAAAGUGACGAGAAGAUGGAAGAGGAUAAGGAGGUUGUGCACAAGGAGGUGGUGCAGACGGAUCAUGUGCAGGAGAAUGUGAAGAGUCAUGUUAAGGAGGAGGAUAAGGAAGUGGUCAAGCACACAACUGAGAAACACAAUUUGGAAGCAAGACCUGUUAAGUGGCGAGAAACUGCGGUUACAAGGACAGUGAAAUGAUAAUUUUCCCAUUCAUAACUUGAGAGAUGUUUUUACAUGUAUUCUUGUGGUGGAAAUGACAGUAAAAAAGCUUUGGAGACGCAUGUAUGGAAACACGGGGUGCAUGUGCUUGACCUUAUAGUAACUAUUACUGACUGGAUAAUUGUGAUUAGUUGACAAAUGCUUAGGUUCAUGUUUCCUUGAAUUAUAAUUUGAUGUUGCUGUCUUUAGUAC